rnacentral:piRNA from 1 species
UGCAUAAUUCGUGGGCAUUCAGAUCCAAAUGA